UACGUAGGGUGCAAGCGUUGUCCGGAAUUAUUGGGCGUAAAGAGCUCGUAGGCGGUUCGUCGCGUCGGCUGUGAAAACCCGGAGCUCAACUCCGGGCCUGCAGUCGAUACGGGCGGACUCGAGUUCGGCAGGGGAGACUGGAAUUCCUGGUGUAGCGGUGAAAUGCGCAGAUAUCAGGAGGAACACCGGUGGCGAAGGCGGCUCACUGGACCACAACUGACGCUGAGGCGCGGAAAGCUAGGGGAGCAAACAGG
rnacentral:rRNA from 1 species